GUUAACGACGUUGACGCCUUCCAACCGCCACGAUCGAAAGCGUUUAGAUCUGUCCGUGAUUCUGACUGUCGAUAAACUAAUAACUCAACUCGUUUUAUUCUCCCAGAAGCGACUUGGCCACAAAUGAUAUCUCAACGAAGUAGCUCAUCACGUGGAAAUAAAUGGAGAGCAGCCAAAUACUCUAAACGUACGUUCAUUCUAAACGUGGUGGGGAAAACCCGGAGAUAAAACCAGACGACUGCAGGGAGAGAGAACAUGCAAACUCUAAAUCUACAGGUGCCAGGGUCUGGAUGGAACCCACGACCUCUUCUUUAUCAGGGGAGGGACGUGACAACUGAAGUCGCUUCAAUUGCUUCAACCACUGGAGGGAACAGACUUCAUGUCUCCGUGCAAGCAGUGUCUGUCACGUGGCAGUCACAUACACUGUCAAGUCUCAGAGACGGAACGAUCGUAAUUAAACGAAGCAUCGGACCAUGUCGACCAAUGCGUAUUGGUGAAGCGUGCAGGGCUCAGGACAUCACAUCCCAGCGACGUGUGACCGUGGCUGGGAAUUCAACUCAGGUGGUUUCAUAGGUCCACUCAGCUACGACUCUCCCACAGUGUCACUCGAAAUAAUCCAGACGCUCUCUCCGCUGAAAAGGAACGGUCAAUGCCGAACAAGAAACAUUAUUGCCUCCCACUGUGUUUAUGUCAUAAGUUUUGUUGGUUGUUAUAUGUAUGACCACAUAUAAUUAUUCUUGGGUGGUGUGCAGGUGCCAAACAUUUAUUGAGUUCCCCUGCAGUACUAUUAAUAUAGAUAUGCGUUAAUAUAUUGACAUCUGAAUUUAAAAUUCCAGACAAACUCCACUCUACAUCCUGGCACCAGACAAACUCCACUCUACAUCCUGGCACCAGACAAACUCUACUCUACAUCCUGGCACCAGACAAACUCCACUCUACAUCCUGGCACCAGACAAACUCUACUCUACAUCCUGGCACCGGACAAACUCCACUCUACAUCCUGGCACCAGACAAACUCCACUCUACAUCCUGGCACCAGACAAACUCCACUCUACAUCCUGGCACCAGACAAACUCUACUCUACAUCCUGGCACCAGACAAACUCCACUCUACAUCCUGGCACCAGACAAACUCCACUCUACAUCCUGGCACCAGACAAACUCCACUCUACAUCCUGGCACCAGACAAACUCUACUCUACAUCCUGGCACCGGACAAACUCCACUCUACAUCCUGGCACCAG